GCUGCUGAGUGGUUUUCUGGAGAGUCCACAUUGUAGUCUGGAGACUCUGAGAUUGAAAUGAUCAGCUGAGUGCUGAUGAUCCAGAGAGCGUCUGGGGACUGGGACUGCUCCACCACCUCCACCUGGAUUUAGUCACACAGCAGAAGACUUUUAAAAGACCAGAAGAAGAAGAUGUCCAAGACACAACAACAUGUGUACUAAUCAAACAAACACCAGUCAGUGUCCAUUUUAUUUUGAAGGUCAUCUCCGGAAGUCCCUGUUUUAACAUCGGUGAAUUGAAGCCGACUAACCUGCACGGCUCUGUGCACGAGCCUGGAGUGUGUGUCACCUUUAUGAUCCAACACGCAUGUUUUUAUUUUCUGCAGAAAUAUUAAUCCAAUAUUCAUUUACAAUGCCGUUUAUAAAGCUCAUUAUAAUAUCAUAUUUGAGCAAUUGUGAGAAAAAUUAAAAGAGAUUCAAAUAAACACUUUUUUAAUGAAUAAUUCUCAAAUAAUUCUAAAUCCUAAUGGAAAUAUUAUACUUUUUUAUUUGUAAUAAUUAUAAUUUAUAUAUUAUAUUAUUAGAUAUAUUAUUAAUUUAUAUGAAUUAAUUGAUUAAUUAUAAGAAGAAAAUAAAAUCCAGACAGCGAUGUGGAGGUUAUGAUCUUAAAAUGAAUGAAUAAUAACAUUUUAACCUGACUGCACUGCACAAAGUUAUACUUUAAACUCUAAAAUGUUAUAGGUUAAAUCCAUUAAAAGUAGUACAUCAUCAUCAUUUGUUAUGAUCAGAUGAUGAAAUGGAAGAAGAGCUGUUGUUAUUCUGGAGCUUCAAAUACAAAUUACACAUCAAAUACUCUGUUAGUUAAUGAUGAUGAUAAUACUAAUACUGUAUAAUUAGUAAAUCAUUCAGUCUGUGUUCACCUGCUGAAGUUAUUUAAAUUUGAUCUUCAUUUUAAGGAAUUUAAUCAGUUUAAAUGUUUCAUUCAUUUCUUUUAUUUAAUUGGGGAAUCAGCAGCUGGUUGGUGAACGUGUGAGUGCAGAAGGGAAUUCUGGGUGUGAUGAACGAGUGAAAACACAUUCAUUAUCAUUGACUUUUUACUUUUGUUCUGUGCAGAUAUUCAUGUUCCCCAGAGGAUGAACCCCACUACUGUUGGUCAUCCUUUGUCUUUUCCUUUACUGCUACCAUGACGUUCACUUUUUAGGUCUCCAUCGAAAUAUCUCAACAAAUAUUGGAUAAAUUGUAUUCAAAGUUUUGUCCCGAAAUUCACGUUCCCCAGAGCAUGAACCCCACUAAUGUUGGUCAUCCUUUGUCUUUUCCUUUACUGCUACCAUUAUGUUAACUAUGUAGGUCUCCAUCGAAAUAUCUUUACAAAUAAUGCAUGAAUUGUCAUAAAGUUUUGUCUCGAAAUUCACGUUCCCCAGAGGAUGAACCCCACUAAUGUUGGUCAUCCUUUGUCUUUUCCUUUACUGCUACCAUUAUGUUAACUAUGUAGGUCUCCAUCGAAAUAUCUUUACAAAUAAUGCAUGAAUUGUCAUAAAGUUUUGUCUCGAAAUGCACGUUCCCCAGAGGAUGAACCCCACUAAUGUUAGUGAUCCUCUUACUUUUCCUAUAGUGCUACCAUGACGUUAACGUUUUGGAUAUCAAAAUAUCUAAACAAGUAUUGGUUGUGUCGCCAUAAAGUUUUGUACAGACAUUCAUGUUCCCCAGAGGAUGAAUCCCAAUGAUGGUAAUCGUUUGUUCUUUCCUUUAGUGCUACCAUUAUGUUAACAUUUUAUCUCUAUCAAAAUGUGCAAGACAUUUUGGAUGAAUUGUCAUGUUUUGUCCAGAUAUUCAUGUUCCCCAGAGGAUGAAUUCCACUAAUGCUGGUGAUCCUCUGACUUUUCCUUUCCAUGAUGUCAAAUGUUUACGCCAAAAUUGAACUAUUUCAAUAAAGUUCCUCAGAGGAUUAAUUCCAAUAA